GGAGCAGGAGGAGAGGUCAGGAGAUGCAGAUGUUGAGGGCAUCAGGAGCAGGAUGGUGGAGCUCAGUGUUCAGGCAGGAGUGAGCAGUGUUCAUACAGCCUUCAUUGCUGUGAAUAAAGACAGCAGACAGACUGUGAAAGGACCCCUGCUGCUGAGUGCCGACACACGCGUGUCCUUGGAAGUCAACUGAAGACUACUAGCUGAUUGAAGUUCCCUAGAGGCAUUACACUAGAACAGAAGGAGAUCGGAGAUAUAAGAUGGAGCCAGUCCACGGAAACCCUUAUAAACAAACAACAAUGUUUUAAAAUGGAUACAAUAUUUAAAUUGUUUAAAUUGGAGAGAGAUCAACACUGGUGAAAUAUGUUCCCUCUUCAUUGUUCCAGUUAA